GACAGACAUCAAGACCAGGACGCUGAGGAAGGCCACUGCAGCCACCAGGAGGAGUGCUGAGGCUUUCACUAUGUAGCCCUGGCUAGCCUAGAGCUCCAUACACAGACCACAGAGAUCCACCUGUGUCUGCCCUGAGUGCUGGGAUUAUAGGCCUAUACUACCACACCCGACCCUUGGGAGUCUUUCAAUGAAGAGGAUCCUGAAUUUAAGGAUGCGAGAAGUGGAGACUCCAGGGCUACCGGUUAUAAAUCUUGAGGCAAGAAUGGCUGUGGAUGGGGAGUGCCUGGGAGGAACACACCGAAACCGCAGGAGGAUCUUGGAGUCAGCACCUGUGCCCAGACGCAUGGAUGACAGAGCAGAAACUGAAGUCACGUGGGGGAGACACAGACACAUGAACCAGGAGUCAGUGCCUGCAGUCACCUGGCAGAGACAUGUGAGAACAGCAGCAAGCAUCUCAGGCAGGCUUCCAGAGUGCGUGAGUGAGCAGGGGCUUUGGGAAGUCUCUCUUUGAUGGCUCCAGUCUCCCUUUCUUAGUGAUUAAGAGCAGGUCCACAGGAUAGAACGGAACCCUAACGGGGCAGGGAUGGGGGCAGAUACCAACCCCUGGGCAGUUCAAUCAGUCUCCCUGAGAUCUUGUCUGUUGUGUGUCCUUGAAGAGCCAACUUCAUUGACAAACUGAACUUUAUGGGCCCAAGGACUGAGCACAUCUUCCUCCUGAUAGUAAUGGUUGAAUAAAUGCAUAAAGUCAA
rnacentral:lncRNA from 1 species